rnacentral:rRNA from 1 species
CACGUAGGGGCCAAGCGUUGUCCGGAUUUAUUGGGCGUAAAGAGCUCGUAGGCGGUUCGACAAGUCGGGUGUGAAAACUCCGGGCUCAACCCGGAGACGCCACCCGAUACUGUCGUGACUGGAGUCCGGUAGGGGAGUGGGGAAUUCCUGGUGUAGCGGUGAAAUGCGCAGAUAUCAGGAGGAACACCGGUGGCGAAGGCGGCGUCCUGGACCAACACUGACACUGAUGAGCGAAAGCCAGGGGAGCAAACGGG